rnacentral:rRNA from 1 species
UACGGGGGGAGCAAGCGUUGUUCGGAUUUACUGGGCGUAAAGGGCGCGUAGGCGGCCUCUGCAAGUCGACUGUGAAAUCUCCGGGCUUAACCCGGAACGGUCAGCCGAUACUGCAGGGCUAGAGUGCAGAAGGGGCAACUGGAAUUCUCGGUGUAGCGGUGAAAUGCGUAGAUAUCGAGAGGAACACCUGCGGCGAAGGCGGGUUGCUGGGCUGACACUGACGCUGAAGCGCGAAAGCUAGGGGAGCGAACGGG